GACUCUCGGCAACGGAUAUCUUGGCUCACGCAUCGAUGAAGAACGUAGCAAAAUGCGAUACUUGGUGUGAAUUGCAGAAUCCCGUGAACCAUCGAGUUUUUGAACGCAAGUUGCGCCCGAAGCCAUCUGGUUGAGGGCACGUCUGCCUGGGCGUCACGC
rnacentral:rRNA from 1 species